UUAACCAGUGCUGGUCUGACUGUUGAGCAGAAUUCUACACUCAAAUUUCAGUGCACGGCUUUGUUUGGCUCACUGAUGUCUCCAGCUGGAUGUCUGCCUAAGAUCUCAUAGCCUCAGAUGCAACAAGACUCUUUCAUUGGAAAAUCUACACUUGUGUGCUGCCAGAAGUAUUAGCAUGGAGGAGUCAAAGGAAGGAAACUUUAUUUGUCCAGCAUAUUUCUUACACAGACAUCCACCUCCUUAUAACCCUCAUGACUCCCUUGUUGCUUGCCUACUCCUACAUUUUCUACAAGACAGUUUUGGGAAGAACUUCAGAGCGUACAGAACUGCUCCACUCGCAGUGAUCUCCAGUCAAGCACCAGCAGUAAAGCCCCCAGGCUCCAUCAACAUUUCCUAAUUAGAAAGGCAUCUGAGGACCCCGAUAUGUUUCUCCAGAGAUGGCCUAUCACCAGUCUAGUCCUCCUGGUAGAAUCUAUAACCUCCUCCUGGCUGUUGGCACAAUGCUGCUGAUGAUCUUAUAAUGUCCUUUCUCUCACAAUGGGUGUUUGCACAAUAAGACUGUUACUGGUGUGUAAGUUCUUUCCUGACUAAUUUCAAUUCAAUAAAUGUUGACGGAAAUUUCA